rnacentral:lncRNA from 10 species
ACAAAACAAGUAAAAUAAUGAUAACAGUAAUAGCUAACACUUAUUGGGCCCUUAUCUGGUACCAGGUGUCAUGCAUCUGACAAGCACUAUUUAAUUUCUCAUCACAACUUCCUUCUGUAAAAUUAUCCCUGAUUUACAGAUGAGGAAGCUCAUGCUUAGAGAAGUUAAAUACCUUGUCCAAGUUCACACAAUUAGAAAAAGAUGAACCAGAAUUCAAACACGGUCUGAUAUCUUCACACCCUGGAAGUUUCAGAAGCCAUAGUAGUUGACAUGACUAGCUACUAGCUGUGCGCCACAGCACAAGUAAAUUAGGCUGAGAUACAGAAAACUGACCUCAAAUGUCUAUAGCUUCAAAGAUGUACACAAAACCUAUUCUUCUCUGAGUGCCCUGGGUUUUCUAGUACAACUCAGUUUCUAGUGCAAUUCAACUGAGGAACCCCGAAGCCUUCCCCCUCAGUUAUUAGUAUUAAACAGAUGCCAUCAAAAUUUAUUUUAAGCAGAUGAGUGUAAUCAGACACUUUUUCUUUUCUUGUUUUUCUUAUUGCUGCUGAACAAAUUAAGACACUUUCUCAAAGGUCUGUGUAUUCACAGGGGUUAGUGGCAUGAGCUUCUUGGAAGAAAAAGUGGUUCGUUAUUGACUGAUAAACUCAAAGGUAUUGAGAAUCAUGGUUGGUCCCAGACUGCUCCCAGAUGAGUCUGAAUCAUUCAUAUGGGCCCAGUUUUUAAUGGCAUUUAGGUUUGCAAGUUAAAAAUCGUUUGAGAGGGAUCGUCCAUAAAUAAGUGCUGGUUUGAGUCCCACCUGGAGAAAGAUAAAUGGAUGUAAUAUUUCCAUGUUCUCAAAUCGGUUCUACUUUCUCCGAUUUCAUCAAUAGCAGCAUGCACUCACAGCAUCGCUCAGCUUAGAACAUCCCUUGGGGCUCUGAGAACCCACACUUUUCUACACUGUGUAAGGGAGCUCAAGGCAUGACUGUCUUCAGUCCUCUGUACCCCACCUCCACCUACCCCCACCUGUUAGAAUUCCCUAUCUGAUGUGGCACUUUAUCUUGGCUCAUUUGCAGACUUUUGCUUUCGAAUACUUGAUUAUCCUUUGCAAACCAUGCCCCAAGCUGGCCAAGACCAAGCUGACUUCAUGGUCUAAGUAAUCACAGGAAAUCAGGUCAGUCCUCGGAAGCUAUCAGGCUCCCCUAGCAAGCCACCUUUCCGACCUUUACUUGUGCAGCAUGCUUGUUUACAAUUUCAAGUCAUAGACUCAAGUGAGGAAAUAUGUCAUUUUCUUUAUUUCUCAACUUAGUUCGUCAGCUCUCAUUUCUACUGAUAGCUAAAAAAGAAUUAACUUCACCAAUCAAGAUAACGCAAUCUGACAUUUUGAGCUGGA